AUGGAUCUUCUGUGGCGGAGGACUCUGCAGUUAUUUCUGCACCCACACAGAGAACAAGGUCACAACAUGGUAUCUCGACACCAAAAGUACAUACGGAUGGUACGGUCAGUAUCAAACAAUUGGAGUCUUCAUCAAUUCGAUUUGCAGAAUGCGUUCCUUCAUGGCGUUCUAGAGGAGGAAGCAUAUAUGAAGCAACCACCUGGGUAUGAGGUUGUCCUGAUGAUAGAAGAUCAACAGGGUGCUUUGCUAUUUUCUUUGGACCAAAUCUCAUAUCAUGGAGUGCACGGAAACAAGCUACUGUGUCAAGAUCAAGCAUAG
rnacentral:rRNA from 1 species